rfam:Lysinibacillus sp. F5 Contig32, whole genome shotgun sequence.
CAUUCGGCUUUUUUAGAAGCCAUCGUUCUUAUAUUGUGAAUCUGCA